GACUAUGAAAUUUUAUAGUAUUGUGGGAAUUUAAACUUUUCUAUAAAAAGGACUUCAUUGUGCGUAUCAUUCUUGAAUAAUUGAUUUAAUUGCUGUAUUUGUUUUUCAAGACUUUUUGAUCAUUUAUCACAAAUCAACAAUAUCAGUUCAUGAGUCAUGUACUUUUUAUGUACAAACACUAAACUCAGACUGUGAGCAUGUUAAAGUUGAAUAAACCUAGUUUUUCUUUCAAGGGCGUUAUCUUAAGACCUUACAACAAAUUUACUUGAUGUCUGGAACAUUAAAUAAUUUGAUUCAUGAAGUUUUCGUAGACUAUUGAAGUUUUAUAGAAAUUGUUUAAUUUGUUAUUUAUUGUUAAGUAGAACCAUAUAGUUAUCAUUGUAGUUUUUGAUAUGUAAACUAUUUCAGGAUAGAGGGUGAGUGUAGUCCAUUUUCGUUAAUGUUACAGAGGCUGUGACAUUAUUCUGGUGCUAUUAUUCUCACUUAGGAAGUACCCGAAACUGAAUAAUCUUAUG
rnacentral:lncRNA from 1 species